AUUGCUAAUUUUUAAAAAAUUUCAAUUUUGAAAAUAAUCUUACUUCAUCAACCUAGAUGUCCAUAAGGCACAGCCAGGUCUCAUUUCUCUAGCCAGUAGAGAUUUCACAAGAUUGCUCUUAAUAUCCUCAAAUAAUUUUGCGGACUCUCCUUCCAGUUCCUCAGCGUAAGAUUGCAGGAAAUAAAACAAAAGGCAUAGGAUAGGAAAGAAUGGAAACUACCGUUUCCAGGGGGGAAGCCCACGUAAUGACAACUCCAGCAUGGCUUAUGCCUGAAAAGGUAGAAAGGCUUCAGGAUGAAGUAAGUAAUGAUUGUUUUAUUUCUUUGGAGCUUGAAAUUUAUCUAGUUAUAAUAUUUUCAUUUUGUUAUAUUCAGUCCCAAGUUUUCAUAAUUUUCAAAAAUAUAAAAAUUGUAGCAUGAGUGACUCUGAAUAUCAUUGUUUUAUCAAAAUACACAAUACAAACUAUUUUUCUGGAGGUUAUUUGUCCCACUUCCUAAGGUGUUAGCACUAGUCCUACGAGGUACGUAAGCCUUUUGCUGAAAUUGACAGUACAUUCGCAGUGUAGACAAUCUACUGUUUACAUUGUCAACUUGCAGAAUCUGCUCUUGAUGGAUUCAAGUGAGGUGCUCUGAAAAACGCCCCCUGAACAAAAAGGUCUGCUAGAGCAAUUUACUGUUUAUAGUAAACCCUUAUCUAUAGUGAUCCUUUCUGAUAAGAGAACUGUUUUGUGUAAAAUGGCCUUCCAGUAAGAGCCCUGCUUCUUGUGUCCACACUUUUUAAGAAAUGGGAUGUCAGGCUGAUCGAGUGGUAAGACUUUGGUUGAUCAUCUGGUCUUCUGUCCUUUUAACAAGUAAGUAAGUUUUGAUAUAAAACAUUUGUAUUCAAUUUUUUUUUGUCAAACUACCAGCUACUAUUAAGGGGUUAUUGCUUUUUAUAUACAAAACACACAUGUUUUGGUUGAUAAUAAUUUUUGUUUCCUAUUUUCGAUUUUUUAGAAUAUUUUUCAUAAUUGAAGUAACUAUUGAUAGGAAUAUUGAGAAAAACAGUUUCCCUUCAAUUAUAUUAUAAAUCAGUUCAGUCCUUGAAUUGUUUGAAAUACAACAUGGUUGUAAACUAUGGUCAUCAACACUGACUAAAAAUUUUAUAUACUAAAAUUCACCUCUGAAAUCAUUGUCGAAGCAAGAGCGUAAGUUACUCCCGUCCAAACUUCUACACUUUGAACGGUACAGUUAUCGACAUUACCAUCUACAGUACCAUUCACAGCACCCAUGGUCCCAUUACAAAACAAUUGAACAUUAUUUUUGAAAAUACUGUUUAAGGUAAUUUCCACAUUUUCCUUAGGAAACACCUAAAAUAAAUUAUAUCAUUAAUUUAUUAUCAAGUUAUAUUAAUAUCAGUGGUAUACCAAUUAACGCUCGAGGUUACAUACACAAAAAGCUUUUGCCGAAGUAAAACAAACUACAGUUGGGUAUAGCCCGAAAACAGUGAAAUGUACCUAAAAUCCAAUCAAGAGUUUUUUUGCCAAUAACAAGAGUUACGUCAGGAAAAACAGCUUAGAAUCUCAAAGCUUCAUAAUAAAAGAUGGAUUAAGACAUGGAGAAGUAGUGGUUCCUUUGUUGUUGGGUAUAAUAAAUCUGAAGAAGAAUAUUGGCAGGUCAACAGUAGUAUAGAUAGGAGAAUAAACUGUUGAACAUAGGUCAAAAUGAUCAGAUACUUUUGCAUGAAAAUAUAUAGAGAAGGAAUAGACGACGUGGAAAUAAAUUAAAGAAAGUUUAGUACAUUGAAACAAUAUAGUGCAUUUCUAGGGUUAUUCAUGGCAAAAAUAUCAGUAGGAAAAUAAAAUCAAAAUGACGAUAUAUAAGACAGUAUACUGGCCAAUAUUGACAUAUGGAAGUGAAAGCUGGGUACUGACGAAAGGAAGAAUUAAGCAUUGAAUAAAUUUAGAUUAUAGAAAACAACAAGCUUAAAUGGUUUGGUCAGAAUGACAAAUAAAUAAGACACCAGUUAAAUGUAAGCAUAAUCAAAUAACAAACUGAAAAGAGAUAGACCUAAGAAAAAAUGGAGUAAAGAGAUAGCAGAAAUACUGGGAAAAUGAGGGACCACAUAGUACCAAGCAAUAACUAUGUCAAAAAAGAAUAGAAGUUUAUUCAUGAAAAGAAAAAUAUAAGGGACUCAGCCCUACACAUUUGGGUACACAGACGUUUAGGAUUUUAUAUGAUGAUGAGUUUAAUAAUAACAGGGGCUCAAUUAGUUAUAUAAUAUAGUUCUAAUCUAAUAAUGAAUAUAUUUACUUCAUAAUCUUUCAUUCCCGCACACCUUAAAUACCAAUGACCACAUAAUUGGUCGGCCAUUAUAGAUUUGUACUGCUCUUUGGAGCAAUCAAAGUUAUAAUAACUACCGUUCCAUAAUUUUCGUUGAUAAGCUGGUUUCGCCUUGUUUAAAAUAUUUUCAAAAACCUUUUUAUGGUUACCCUUUCCUAGUUGAUCCGCCAUUGUCAUCAUUGCUUGUAAAGCAGCUAACCAUAAACCUCCACAAUAAGCACUAAAAAUUAGUUUAUCAGUAAUUUUAUUUCGUUCCAAUAAUUUUUUAUUUCACAAAAAAUAUCACAUAAAAAGAGGGAGAAUGGAGGGGAGAAAAGCUUGUUUCAAAUAAAGAUAUAUAAAGAGGAUAGUACACAAGAUAUAUAACUUUUGAGGAGGUGAAAACAUUGGUCAAUUAAAGAAUUAUAAUAACCAGAAUAAAAACAAUAAACAUAGAAUUAUACAAAUGGAUAAAAAAAUAGUAAAAAUAAUAGUGAAGAUAUAAAUAGAAACAAUUAUAAAAAUAAA